rnacentral:rRNA from 1 species
GCCAUGCAUGUCUAAGUAUAAACGAUUUAAUCGUGAAACCGCGAAUGGCUCAUUAUAACAGCUAUAAUUUACUUGAUCUUGACACAAUCCUACUUGGAUAACUGUGGUAAUUCUAGAGCUAAUACAUGCAUUAAAGCUCUGACCUCACGGGAAGAGUGCAUUUAUUAGAACAAAACCAAGCGGCUUCGGCUGUUUCUGGUUGACUCAUAGUAACUGAGCUGAUCGCAUGGUCUUGCACCGGCGACGUGUCUUUCAAGUAUCUGCCGUAUCAACUUUCGAUGGUAGUGUAUCUGACUACCAUGGUGAUCACGCGUAACGGAGAAUAAGGGUUCGGCUCCGGAGAGUUCGCCUGAGAAAUCGCGAACACAUCUAAGGAAGGCAGCAGGCGCGAAAAUUACCCACUCUCAGCACGAGGAGGUAGUGACGAAAAAUAACGAGACCGUUCUCUUAUGAGGCCGGUCAUCGGAAUGGGUACAAUUUAAACCCUUAA